GCAGUGGUGGUUCAAUGGUAGAAUUGUCGCCUUCCACACAGGAGACCCAGGUUCAAUUCCCAGCCAGUGCA
rnacentral:tRNA from 1 species